GCCCGCUUGGCGUAACGGUAGCCGCAGCAGACUUAAAAUCUGCCGAUCUUUUGGUCGUGCCAGUUCGAAUCUGGCAGCGGGCAC
rnacentral:tRNA from 1 species